rnacentral:rRNA from 1 species
UACAGAGGUCCCGAGCGUUGUUCGGAUUCAUUGGGCGUAAAGGGUGCGUAGGCGGGUCUUUAAGUCAGGGGUGAAAUCCUGGAGCUCAACUCCAGAACUGCCUUUGAUACUGAAGAUCUUGAGUUCGGGAGAGGUGAGUGGAACUGCGAGUGUAGAGGUGAAAUUCGUAGAUAUUCGCAAGAACACCAGUGGCGAAGGCGGCUCACUGGCCCGAUACUGACGCUGAGGCACGAAAGCGUGGGGAGCAGACAGG